GCUUCCUCUUCUUCCUCCUUCAGGCCAGCGUAGAAGAUGGGCCGCCGCCACCGCCGCAGCAAGCGGCGCGCCGCAGGCGGAGCGAGUCGGCGGCGGCGGCAACGCGGAGCAAAAGCAUCACGGUGGUCGGAGACAGCGGGCGAGAAGAGAGAGGCAGGAGAGAAGAUACAAAGACCGUGAGCGAGUGCCGAGACCAGCCUGGAGAGCGCGAGCGCCCGGGCUGCGGCCAGCGUGGGCUCAGCGGGCGUGGAGUGCGGGCGUGGACCUACAGGAGGGGUACCAGCCCUUGCGAGCAGCAGCGGGCCGCCGGGAUAUCUGCACGGUGGCCAGAGCGGUCAAUCAAUCUCAGCUCCGCACUGCCGCCCCGCCCCACUCUGCACCCGCCAAUCCGCUCUGCUCCAUGCCCCCAGGCAGCACCCCUUUCUUCCCUUCCCAUUGGCUGCGAGCGCGCGUCUGCCGGGCCCAGCCCGCCACUCUCAGGGCUCAAAGCGUCCGCCCCCGUUCUACCUCCGGCCUCUCGCCUCCCGCCCGCUGUGUGUAAUUCGAGUUCCGCGUCCGCAGGCUGCGGGUCCUUUUUUCGGCUCCCUGGUCGGCUUCCCUCUUGCUCGGUUUUCCUUUCUCUCCUCUACCCACUUCCUCUAUUUACUGUUUCCCUGCUCCCAAGUAGAACUGCUGACAGCCACUCUCCCUCUUGCUGGAGUUACAAGGGAACAGCCCUUAACCUCCCUUCGAAUUAAUGUGAUCGGGUUCAGCUUCCUCCACGUUUUUGGUGGUUUGUUUUUAAUCCCUCCCCACCCGAUUCUUCCACGUCCUACCCCAGCCGAUUCCAGCUUCAGAUCCUGGGCUGAAGCCGGUUCUUUAAUCUCGUGCUGUGCAGCAGGUCCCCUCUCAGUCAACAACACCUGCGGAACCUCUUAAGCUUGUUGAGGACGCUUGGUAAAUCAAGCACCGAACCGAACCGCGUUGGAAAUCUGCUCUGCGGUCAGAAGCAGAUCAGAUAGGCCAGGAAGGUACUGGCGAACUCCCGGGAAUUAGCAGGCGACUGAGUGAAAAGCUUACAAUGUUCUGGUUUCUUUGACAUUUCCCUGCCUGGAAGCGGCGAGGAGGGUCUGAGAGUGGAUGGACUUCAAUGUGUGCGGUUACAGUGUAGUUAGAUUAAUGAGAAUGAGGGCGUCCUGGAGUCACUGCAAAUCCUGAUACCGCGAAACAACUGUUCUUCAGAGGAAAAACUUCAUCUCCUCUAAGGAAGGAAAGAUGAGACCAGAACAUACUUUCAGGGGACCUAGCAAAGCAUACCACGCAUGAACGUGCAAAUGGAUAGAAUUAAAACACACGAGAGAAACAUUAAAGGACUCUAAACAAGAUGCGGUUUCAUUUCCUGAACUUAAACGUGACGUCUUAACUGUUCCCCAGUUACUACAUCUCCAUUUCCAGAAAUCUAACAGGAGUAUCUCGGUUUUCUUAAUGGAUCGCCUAGGGCAGAGGAACCAGGAAUCAGACCCACAGUUGCGAUUUAUGCAACCUAUUGUAGGGUAAGGGCUCCUCGGCUGCCUCCCGGUCCACUGUGUGCGAAAAGCAGUGGCUGAAAUAGCCAAG